ACGUAAUGAUCCAAACGGAUCCUUUAUAUUCUUUUUACUCAUUCUUCCUUCUCACACUUUGACAUUCUCCACAAACCCUAGAAACCAAAGCUGUUCGUGUGCCAUUUCUUCUUCCUUUUUACUCAUUCCAAUUCCAAAGCCCAAUUCAAUGAGAACCAACAGUUCUUUAUUGUUGCUUGAAGAUCAGACAUCUAUUAUUCGAUCGAUUAGAUUAUACAAGGUUUUGGUUAACAGGUAUAAUCAGAUCUUAUAUAUCCUUUCCCACACAACGACAAAUCAAUACCACAUUCUCAAAAAAACCCUAAAUCCCAAAAUCGCAAUCUGUUACAUUUGUUUAUGUGACAAGCGAUUUCAAAACAAUGUUUAACCGGUGGUGGCGGCUUACAAAUAAGGUAUCUUAGUGCCAUCUCUGCUCAAUCUCUGCAACCAUCAAUGGUUUUUCUUUACCCGGAUUUGGAAGAAUUGGAUGUUUGUGUUGCCGUGUUGUUCACCAUACUUAAUCAUCACUUUAGGCUCAAUCGCAAAGUAUAAAUAGAUUCUGUAUUCCAUCUGUUUGGCGAGACCAAGAGUCAAUUCCGGUGAUUCUCGCAAGCUUCACACUUUUAUUGAUUGUACCCAUGGAGCCGCCAGUCAUUCUUCCUCUCAUUGGAGGAGGGAACCAAUAAGUGAAAAUGAAUGUUGCGGACUAGAACAGUGCAAGGAGAUGCUACAGGAAUCUCUGUAACUGACAAUAGGGAAUAGUGGAAGUCUUCUUCAUCUGUGAUGGAAUUGUAUUUAACAAGGCUACAAUUGAAUAUGCUGGAUAAUGAAUGAUGAGUUUACAUGACAAUUCAGAAUUUUAUUCUUAAGAUGGUUGAUGGAUGUCAAUGGGAGUUGAAAAUAUCCAUUGUUAUGACAGCCGACAGGAAAACAAGGAGGGCCUUAAAUUACUAAAGAUUCAUUUACUUAUGAAUAGAUCAAUUCGAUUUUUUUAAUCUCUAAUAUGUAAAAGGUUAAAAUGUGAAAGAUCGAGUCGUUCGUACUUCUAGUCCACCUUUGCCGUUACACAUUGACUUCAAAAUAGGCCGAUAUCGGAACUGUGAUCAGGCUGCGGUUUCGAGUUAUUGGGGGAUUUCAAGAUCUAACCAAGUGGACAUGGAACUGUUGUAUGAUGUUCUUCUAAUUAAAUAAAACAAUAAGGGUGCAUGAAAACUGGAAUAAAGGUCUGAAACUAUUUAGCACCAGUGAAGACGGCGGGCAACAACUUUUUCAGGCAGAUUUUGAUUGGUUCUUCUACAAAUAUAUUAUGAAAUGGAUCAGCCAAGGGAAUUUAUGGGCUGAUACUAAAACACAAGAAGACCAGCCAAGUUAAGUUCUUGAUUUUUUUACUUUGCUCAAUAGAUACUUCCCAUGUAAUAGUAUAUUAUUUUCUGGCUGUUAUGUACAUAUUCCUUUACAUGAAAGUAAUUUUUGUAGGCUCCUGAAAUUGGUUUAAUAGAGCUUGAGAGUCUUUUUCCAGUUGUUUCUAUUUCUAACAACAAAGGUGGAGCUCGCCGAGUUGCAAAAAUUAAUAAACCUGAGAAGGUUUAGGGUUUGCCCCUGUUGCCAGCUGAUCAGGUGAAUGUGGCAAUUGAGUUUUUGAAGCAACGAGUGGGAUCACCAACUAUAAUGGGGCAAGGAGUUCCCGUGCUGUUUAUUGAACACCCCGCCAUUAUAUCUAUUACUAAGCUUUCAAGUUGCUCACUAUUUUGUACUUGUGUAUAUCAUGAAGUGAAUUCACCGGCUAAACUUAGUACUGAAUCAUGUCAGUUUAUGUAUAAAUAUUCAUGUAACAUCUCAUGGGUGCAUAGUGUAAUGCCCGGGAAAAGUGGCCUUUUCACUUAAGGUUAUACUCAUCAAAAGAAGUACUCAGAAGUGUUGCGGUUGA